UNAAAGAGAUAGGAGUUGAACCUACGUCUAAG
rnacentral:tRNA from 1 species